UCUCUCACAUUUCUUCUCCACCGCCUCCCUCGGUCGGACGACGAGAAGCCGCAGCCAUUAGGCACGCCGCCAACCACCUUCUGCUCUCACUAGCAUCGUCCUCCUCUUCUCUCUCCCGAUUCCACGAAACCGCUAAAUCCCCAAUUUCUAAAAAAAAUCCCUAGCUUUUGCCUACCUCUCACCCCUCGUCCCCUUCAUGCGACGAAGUCGCCGCCACUAGCCACCGUUAGUGACAACAACAGCCGCGCCAACACCUUCUCCAUUCUCUCAUGCUUGGACCGACUGCUACAAGAGGUUGUCGUCGAUCUCUCUCUCUCUCUCUCUCUACUCUGGCUAACGGCCAGUAGAGAAACCGUCGUCGUUGGGCCUGUCUCCUCCACCCUAACCAUCCGUUGUUUCCUACAUCUCCCUACCAACUGACAAGCAGCAACGACCAACAGGCCACAACCGCCGCCGACUACUUUGCCCUGCUCCAGCCCCUUCUCUUCUCGACUCACCACUCCGAUGAUAGUCCACCUCCCCCAAUAUUCAAGCAACACAAGUUUGAUGUGUAGAUCUUGUCUUCAAGAACUGGAGGUGUAACUGGAGAUUUUGGGAUGUUUGGAUAAUUAUUGUUUCUCAAAUUUUGUUUCUGGAAGUGUAGAUCUUUGGGAUCUUUUUGUUUCUCGAUUUUUGUUGUGUAGAUCUUUGGGAUGUUUCUCAAUUGUUGGUGAUGAACAAAUUCUUAAACACACUUCGAAUUCCCUAA